rnacentral:rRNA from 1 species
CCUACGGGAGGCAGCAGUGGGGAAUAUUGGGCAAUGGGCUCAAGCCUGACCCAGCAACGCCGCGUGAAGGAAGAAGGCUUUCGGGUUGUAAACUUCUUUUGACAGGGAAGAGUUGAAGACGGUACCUGUCGAAUAAGCCACGGCUUACUACGUGCCAGCCGCCGCGGUAAUACGGAGGGGGCGCGCGUUUUCCGGAUUUACUGGGUGUAAAGGGCGUGUAGCCGGGUUGACAAGUCAGAUGUGAAAUCCUGCGGCUUAACCGCAGAACUGCAUUUGAAACUGUUGAUCUUGAGUACUGGAGAGGCAGACGGAAUGCCUAGUGUAGCGGUGAAAUGCGUAGAUAUUAGGAGGAACACCAGUGGCGAAGGCAGUCUGCUGGACAGCAACUGACGGUGAGGCGCGAAAGCGUGGGGAGCAAACAGGAUUAGAUACCCGAGUAGUC